rnacentral:rRNA from 1 species
AUAUGCCUACAACAUAGCGCUAAUGCAUUGGAUCCCAUUAAAACUCCGCAGUUAAGUGCACUCAUGCUAGAGUAGUACUGGGAUGGGUGACCACUCGGGAACUCCUAGUGUUUUACAUGCC